UACGAAGGGGGCUAGCGUUGUUCGGAAUUACUGGGCGUAAAGCGCACGUAGGCGGGUUUGUUAAGUCAGGGGGUGAAAUCCUGGAGCUCAACUCCAGAACUGCCUUUUGAUACUGGCAACCUAGAGACUGGAAGAGGUUAGUGGAAUUCCCAGUGUAGAGGUGAAAUUCGUAGAUAUUGGGAAGAACACCAGUGGCGAAGGCGGCUAACUGGUCCAGCACUGACGCUGAGGUGCGAAAGCGUGGGGAGCAAACAGG
rnacentral:rRNA from 1 species